ensembl:Y_RNA Y_RNA Y RNA
GGCUGGUUUAAAGGUAGUCAGUUAUCUCAAUUGUUCGCAGUCAGUUAUAGAUAGAACUCCUUGUUCCACUUUUUCCUCCCUUCUUACUACUGCAGUUGACUAAUCGUGA